UUUUGUAGUGGCGCCUGUCCAACCAAAAAUAUCGGAUAACCGUCCCACGGUUUCCCCUUCCCUUAGACAUGCACCUUGCACCUUUUGGGCAGUUAUGCGCAAGAAAAAAAAAAUGACAUAAGUUAACAGCGGCUACUGUCAAGGUAUGGUGAAAAAAAAGGGGAAUGAGAGAACCAAGGGCUCAAGCGGAAGGAGAGUGGCUUGGGCAUGUUCUUUCCAAUUGGACUCGCGAUCCCAGACGGACGUCUGAGGAAAAUACUCAAGUAGUGCAGUGAAAGGAACAAUUCUAACCUCGACCGAAAUUACCGCGUGUCCAUCGUGGCUAAGAUCUAGUCAAAAGAUCAGCCGACCAUUCCUACGUUUAUUAAGCGAAGGCCGAACCCAUCGGGUUUGGCCGUACGUAAUACCGUACGAAACGCCGGUCGUAGUGCCGUAAGCCGUACCCACGACAGUCUCGUCACCUUGCCACACAUAUAAGUAUCCAUCGUACCGAUCGACUACUGUAUGUGUUAGUCUUCUUUCGGCGUGGCGUCUGCAUACAUGUGAGCAUCACUGUAUUUACCGCAGCAUAUACCGGCGUGGGUCCACACACAUACAAGCCUUGCUCGGCCUACCCCAGUGAAAAACGGUCGAUGGGCUUUUUAUCUACGAGUGCAGUGACAUACAUAUGUACAUAUGUGUGAGAUCGACUAUUCCCUCUUCAGUGACUUUCGUCAUUGCUACGUUGCUUACGCCGCCCGCAUACGAACAGUAACGCUCAAGGAGAAGACAAUUACCGGUGCCGUUAUACUGUUUGCGUUGCUGAUGAAGUCAGUCGGUGUCUCGAUCAUGAUGGCUAUGCGCAUGAAUUUCUUCAUAUUAGAAUAAUACUUUGGAACCCCACUAUUGUACUGACCCUAGGAUUAACCUUAAAAGUUAAUUUCGUGUGAUUCGGUUUGUUUGGAUUAUCAUAAAGAAAAGUGCAGUUAGAAGGAAAGGAACUAAAACUAUUACUCGCGCAUAUCGCCUAUCUACUCUGACACACUGAUAUUUACAAGUUUUCAGCCACCCUCAUCGACCACAUGGAAGCGCUUUCAUCGUUGGAUUUGAUCGUACUGUGAGUGAUAACCUGUGAACGUCUGCUAUAUGUGAAUUCAAAAUUUUACGCAAGUCGAAGCAACAUUAAAGAUUCCAUGCCUCGACCGUAAACUUCCCAGCCGUACUGUAACGCUGACCAAUCCAAUGGUUCACGUGUUUGUUUUGUUCUGCUCUUUCGCAAGCAAUGUAACUUUCUGCAAUUCCGAAUCUAUCGACAACCGAACUUAUGAUUGGGAUUACCCCACAAGCAAUUGCUGUGCACUUUAAAGAUGCAUCCAUCCGUCCCUUGUUUUUGCAUUUAAACUGAAAACUAUUCGACUAUAUUUCUAUUUGUGUAACGUAAUUACCAUUAUUACUGAAUAUACUCUUUAUAAUUAGUUGA